rnacentral:rRNA from 1 species
AGCGAACGCUGGCGGCAGGCCUAACACAUGCAAGUCGAACGAACUCUUCGGAGUUAGUGGCGGACGGGUGAGUAACACGUGGGAACGUGCCUUUAGGUUCGGAAUAACUCAGGGAAACUUGUGCUAAUACCGAAUGUGCCCUUCGGGGGAAAGAUUUAUCGCCUUUAGAGCGGCCCGCGUCUGAUUAGCUAGUUGGUGAGGUAAAGGCUCACCAAGGCGACGAUCAGUAGCUGGUCUGAGAGGAUGAUCAGCCACAUUGGGACUGAGACACGGGCCAAACUCCUACGGGAGGCAGCAGUGGGGAAUCUUGCGCAAUGGGCGAAAGCCUGACGCAGCCAUGCCGCGUGAAUGAUGAAGGUCUUAGGAUUGUAAAAUUCUUUCACCGGGGACGAUAAUGACGGUACCCGGAGAAGAAGCCCCGGCUAACUUCGUG